rnacentral:misc_RNA from 1 species
UCUCCGUAGGUGAACCUGCGGAGGGAUCAUUACAGAGUUCAUGCCCUACCGGGUAGAUCUCCCACCCUAUGUUAUUAUUAUUUUGUUGCUUUGGCGGGCCGUUAGGCUCCGGCCCGACUACCGGCCCCGGCUGGUAAGCGCCCGCCAGAGGACCCAAAACCCCGAAUAUUAGUGUCGUCUGAGUACUAUAUAAUAGUUAAAACUUUCAACAACGGAUCUCUUGGUUCUG